rnacentral:rRNA from 1 species
GGUUAAGCGACUAAGCGUACACGGUGGAUGCCCUGGCAGUCAGAGGCGAUGAAGGACGUGCUAAUCUGCGAUAAGCGCCGGUAAGGUGAUAUGAACCGUUAUAACCGGCGAUACCCGAAUGGGGAAACCCAGUGUGACUCGUCACACUAUCAUUAACUGAAUCCAUAGGUUAAUGAGGCGAACCGGGGGAACUGAAACAUCUAAGUACCCCGAGGAAAAGAAAUCAACCGAGAUUCCCCCAGUAGCGGCGAGCGAACGGGGAGGAGCCCAGAGCCUGAAUCAGCAUGUGGUG